rnacentral:lncRNA from 1 species
CGUACGAACAUAUCAAAUUAGAACAAUUCUUAAUAUGACAAAAAGGAAAACAUAUGGCCAGGAAUAUCUGACAAGGAUUUCAAUUAAGGACUAUAGCUAGGUCCUUACAACCAGUUAACCCCAGGGGGGUUACUUCCUAUAUUUUUAGUGGUAUGAGUGUGCCGCAAUACAGGGUCCCUUUUUCAUGCCCUGCUGGUUAGAACAGGGUCCCUUUUUCAUGUCCUGCUGGUUAGAACAGGGUCGCUUUUCCAUGCCUUGCUGGUGAGAACAGGUUCUUUUUUUAAACAAAAGUAUUUGUCUAGUACAGGAUCACUUAUUUAACUGUUUAAGAUACAGUCUACAACCCGGGUCUAGAACAGCAUCUAUUUUAUACGGUCUACAACAGGGUAUACAUUUUCUGAGCGUGUCUAGAACAGGGUAUGUUUUUCAAUAUUUCUGUGUAGAACAGGGUAUGUUUUUCAUUGUUUUCUGGUUAGAACAGGGUACGAUUUGGCAAGUGCUGUCGGCACAGUCAUACCUAAAAGGAUAGUCAGUAACCCCC